CCCACAGAAGCAUUUGGAAGAAGAGUCAACACCUUAACCUCAUCUUCAUGUUCCUCAAUCCAUUCCAGAACCAUUUUUGCAGCAUGAGCAUCCUGACUGGUCUGCGGCUACACAUCCCCAUACCCGACAAACUGUGAUGCACUGUGCGUUCUGACUCCUUUCGUUUGAAACCAGCAUAAACUUUGGAGCAAUUGGUGCUACAGUAGCUCAUUGGUUAGAUUGGACCACAGCAUCAAUGAGGCUUUGAAGCGCCUGACCAUGUCAUCAGGUCACCAAUUGCAAGCCUAGGACGACGGCGACAGUGGCAAGAAAAAACUCCCUGAGAUGGUAAUAGGAAGAAACCUUGAGAGGAACCAGACUCAACAGGGAACCCAUCCUCAUCUGGGUGAAAACAGAUGGUACUAACUACUGAAGAUUGGGAACAUCCCAUGAGACCUGCUGUUUUGGAGAUUCCCUGACCCAGUCAUCUAGGCAUCACAAUAGCUGCAUGCAGAUUGAAAAAGAAGAACAACCAAGAUUUUAAGGGAAAAUGGCCUCACAGUCUUCAUGUAUGUCAAAU